GAGCCUAAAAUGCCCAGUCCGACGAGAGACCUUUCGGGUCUCUAGUGGCGAACGGGUGAGUAACACGUAGGGAACCUGCCCGCGCACCGGGAAUACGCUCUGGAAACGGAGAACAAAUCCCGAUGUACAGGAAGGAGGCAUCUUCUUUCUGUGAAACAUCCUUUCGGGGAUGGGGCGCGGAUGGACCUGCGGUGCAUUAGUUGGUUGGCGGGGUAAAGGCCCACCAAGACGAUGAUGCAUAGCCGGCCUGAGAGGGCGGACGGCCACAUUGGGACUGAGACACGGCCCAGACUCCUGCGGGAGGCAGCAGUAGGGAAUUUUCGUCAAUGGGCGCAAGCCUGAACGAGCGAUGCCGCGUGAGUGAAGAAGGCCUUCGGGUCGUAAAGCUCUGUUGCGGGGGAAAAAAGGCAGCAUCAGGAAAUGGGUGCUGACUGAUGGUGCCCCGCCAGAAAGUCACGGCUAACUACGUGCCAGCAGCCGCGGUAAUACGUAGGUGGCGAGCGUUAUCCGGAAUGAUUGGGCGUAAAGGGUGCGCAGGCGGUCCUGCAAGUCUGGAGUGAAACGCAUGAGCUCAACUCAUGCAUGGCUUUGGAAACUGGAGGACUGGAGAGCAGGAGAGGGCGGUGGAACUCCAUGUGUAACGGUANAAUGCGUAGAUAUAUGGAAGAACACCAGUGGCGAAGGCGGCCGCCUGGCCUGUUGCUGACGCUGAAGCACGAAAGCGUGGNGAGCAAAUAAGAUAAAAUACCC
rnacentral:rRNA from 1 species